rnacentral:rRNA from 1 species
GUAGGGAAUUUUGCGCAAUGGGGGCAACCCUGACGCAGCGACGCCGCGUGAGUGAAGAAGGUCUUCGGAUUGUAAAGCUCUGUCAGGAGGGACGAAUAACCGGAGUCGAAUAGGCUUACGGGAUGACGGUACCUUCAGAGGAAGCACCGGCUAACUCUGUGCCAGCAGCCGCGGUAAUACAGAGGGUGCAAGCGUUAUUCGGAAUUACUGGGCGUAAAGAGCACGUAGGUGGGAUACCAAGUCAGGUGUGAAAUCCCUGAGCUUAACUUGGGAAUGGCAUUUGAAACUGGUAUUCUUGAGAUUGGGAGGGGGAAGCGGAAUUCCUGGUGUAGAGGUGAAAUUCGUAGAUAUCAGGAGGAACACCGGAGGCGAAGGCGGCUUCCUGGCCCGAAUCUGACACUGAGGUGCGAAAGCGUGGGUAGCAAACAGGAUUAGAAACCCUAGUAGUCC